UGGUGAACAGCAUGUCCUCGCAGGCUGGAAAUGGCCUCACCCAACCCUCCCUGAAGCAGCUUCUCAGCCAGCCCUGGCGGUGGGGAGGAGGAGAAGAGAGGAGGAAGAAAUGACGUUGGGCUCGUGGGCAUCUGAGUCCAUCACGGUAUUCCCCUUCCUGAGCAUUUGGUCUUUCACAGCUGUUUGUUUGACAGGUUGCCAUCUCUUGGGCAGAUGGAGGUCGUUCUCCACCCUUCUCGUCCCACCGUCACCUGCUCGGCCAGCCCUGGGUCACCUUUGUCUUCCCUGUCAUGUUUAAUGCCUGCUCCUGCUGUGCUGCCGAACCUUUUGCCACGGGGUGCAGGAGCACCGAGGGAUCCAUCCGUACACAGAGCUUGCGUGAGGGGCCUGCUUCUGCGUAGCAAAGCAUCCCAACAACUGCAGUGGUAGCCUCAAGGAGCCUCAAACAGCGUCCUCAGAGCUUGCUUCAGAACAAUCCCUGUGUACAGACCUUCGCUGCAAAGGCCAGGAAGGAAGGAAGAUGGAUGCUGCGUGCACCCCAGGCACUGUUAGAGUG